UACAGAGGGUGCGAGCGUUAAUCGGAAUUACUGGGCGUAAAGCGUGCGUAGACGGUUAUUUAAGUCGGGUGUGAAAGCCCCGGGCUCAACCUGGGAACUGCAUUGGAAACUAACGGGCUCGAGUGUGGCAGAGGGGGGUGGAAUUCCACGUGUAGCAGUGAAAUGCGUAGAGAUGUGGAGGAACACCGAUGGCGAAGGCAGCCCCCUGGGCUAACACUGACGCUCAGGCACGAAAGCGUGGGGAGCAAACAGG
rnacentral:rRNA from 1 species